GGAGGACCCAGGAACCAGAUUUCUUUUGCUCUGGGCACCGUUUGGCAACAUACUGGCUGAUGCUUUAACAAGUACUUGGGAACCCAGAAAUAUGGUUCCUUGCUGUCUCCAACCCCUGUCUAAGGUUCCCGGAGCCCCUGUCCUCAGAGGAAGAGAAGGAAAGAACCAGUCACCGUCCUGAUGGGGGCAGGCAGAGGCAGCAGGGACCAGGGAAAGCCUCUCAGGGUUCUAGAGCUCACGUGGAGGAGACCCUGUCUCCCCAGUUGAGCAGAAUUAAGACAGAUUUCUCUGUGAUUCACUGCUUACAGGAGUUCCCAGCAAUGAGGCUGAACCUAUGUGACUCCUCUCCUGAAUUCUCAUUGGGAUAAGGCUCUGGCCUUUGCAGAAGUGACUCCUGUCCCAGCAAGCCAAGGAUCUCUCAGUGGCCUGGACUUCAUUCACCAUGUAAGCUGGCCGUCGAGUCCCAGGGAGCUGCCUCUCUCUGUGCCCUCAGUGCUGACUUUAAUGGAAUAUGCUUGCCUGAUUUACAUGGAUCCAGAGGCUCCUACCUAAAUCUUUACCAUAACAAGUUCUCUCUCCAGCCCCCACGGCCUAAAUCUUUACCAUUUUUAUCCUUUAGUUGCUGACAGAUGCAUGAAUCUCUAGAUUUUUUUUUCUUCUCUCCAAUACUUUGGAUCAUCAGAAAAUCCUUCCAGGCCUUUUCUUGUCGGGGUGGCAUGAUGCUGUCUAUUAGGUAGGCUCUAGUGUAUUCUUGAGAAGAAAAUAAAGAAAACCAUCAACCUGUACUAGCAAGGGGCCCAACAUGGAGCUGUGACCUGACAGCCUUCAGAGUGACUAAGACAGAGUGAUCACAGCCAAGUUCCAAUGUGACACUUCUUUGAAUCUCCUCCCUGCACAGCCCCCAAACCGGGCCACCCCUCUUGCUUCCCAGGGCUAGGAAAAUAGGGUGUAAGUGUCUGUUAGACCUGGGUUAAAGCUCUGCCUGUUACAUCAACACAACGAUGGGGCUACUUUGAAAAUAUGAAAUGGAUCACAGUAUUUCACGCAAGAGGCCAAAACUAGUAAACUCUCAGAAGAGGGGCUGGCGAGAUGGAAAAACUGGUGAAGUACAAAGACCUGAGCUCGUUCCUGGGACCCACAGAAUAGAAGGAAGGAACUGACUCCUGCAAGGUGAGCCCUCUGACUGUCACACACAACUGUGCAUCAGUGUGUCCCCUCUAAGUAAAAUGUAAUAAAAAUUUAAAUGCUU
rnacentral:lncRNA from 1 species